rnacentral:lncRNA from 1 species
CUAGGAUGCUUUGAGAGCAUUGGCUUCAAAUGCUUCCCGGUCAAAACAAUGAAAGACCUCCCAAAAUGAAAGUCAGCAUUCAACAUCUAAGAUAUAUAAAAUACUUAGUGACUUUUUUUUGGAGGUCCCUUGCAUGUGCAAUGAAAAAAUGAAUGAUAGAAAUAUGGCUAGUGAGCAAAAAUAUAGUAUAAACCAUAUAAUUUACAAUUACAAACCACUGAAUUUCUAACUAUUUUGAAACAUAUAUAAAUCAAAUUUCAUCUAAUUUAGAGGUUUCUAAACUAUAGAUUAAACUAAAGCAUGAUAUCAUACCACUGAAUGGUUCGUUUUGUUUUCAUUUGAUGUAUAACUACAAGAUAUCAGAAAUAUGUGAUUUUUAGUUUCUAGACAAUUUUAAUGUCAUAAAUCAUAAUCAACACUGCUGAUUUUAUCUUGAGAGGUCCUUCAUUGUUUUU